CUGCUUCAGCAGUCAUGGAGAAACAGCGAAGGUGGUUUUCCCAGGAUGAGGCUUAUGCAUUGCACUUGGGAUGUGCUGACCCCUGUGAUUUCCCCAAAUGUGGGAAAUUCAACUGCAUAAUUUAUGGUAGUGGGGACUGCAUUUGUGCUCUCUCCU
ensembl:snRNA U1 U1 spliceosomal RNA